rnacentral:rRNA from 1 species
UAAGUGGUAGGAGAGCGUUCUAUUUGCGUCGAAGGUAUACCGGUAAGGAGUGCUGGAGCGAAUAGAAGUGAGCAUGCAGGCAUGAGUAGCGAUAAUUAAUGUGAGAAUCAUUAACGCCGUAAACCCAAGGUUUCCUACGCGAUGCUCGUCAUCGUAGGGUUAGUCGGGUCCUAAGUCGAGUCCGAAAGGGGUAGACGAUGGCAAAUUGGUUAAUAUUCCAAUACCAACAUUAGUGUGCGAUGGAAGGACGCUUAGGGCUAAGGGGGCUAGCGGAUGGAAGUGCUAGUCUAAGGUCGUAGGAGGUUAUACAGGCAAAUCCGUAUAACAAUACUCCGAGAACUGAAAGGCUUUUUGAAGUCUUCGGAUGGAUAGAAGAACCCCUGAUGCCGUCGAGCCAAGAAAAGUUUCUAAGUUUAGCUAAUGUUGCCCGUACCGUAAACCGACACAGGUGGGUGGGAUGAGUAUUCUAAGGCGCGUGGAAGAACUCUCUUUAAGGAACUCUGCAAAAUAGCACCGUAUCUUCGGUAUAAGGUGUGGUUAGCUUUGUAUUAGGAUUUACUCCGAAAGCAAGGAAACUUACAACAAAGAGUCCCUCCCGACUGUUUACCAAAAACACAGCACUCUGCUAACUCGUAAGAGGAUGUAUAGGGUGUGACGCCUGCCCGGUGCUCGAAGGUUAAUUGAUGGGGUUAGCAUUAGCGAAGCUCUUGAUCGAAGCCCGAGUAAACGGCGGCCGUAACUAUAACGGUCCUAAGGUAGCGAAAUUCCUUGUCGGUUAAAUACCGACCUGCAUGAAUGGCGUAACGAGAUGGGAGCUGUCUCAAAGAGGGAUCCAGUGAAAUUGUAGUGGAGGUGAAAAUUCCUCCUACCCGCGGCAAGACGGAAAGACCCCGUGGACCUUUACUACAGCUUGACACUGCUACUUGGAUAAGAAUGUGCAGGAUAGGUGGGAGGCUUUGAGUAUAUGACGCCAGUUGUAUAUGAGCCAUUGUUGAGAUACCACUCUUUCUUAUUUGGGUAGCUAACCAGCUUGAGUUAUCCUCAAGUGGGACAAUGUCUGGUGGGUAGUUUGACUGGGGCGGUCGCCUCCCAAAUAAUAACGGAGGCUUACAAAGGUUGGCUCAGAACGGUUGGAAAUCGUUCGUAGAGUAUAAAGGUAUAAGCCAGCUUAACUGCAAGACAUACAAGUCAAGCAGAGACGAAAGUCGGUCUUAGUGAUCCGGUGGUUCUGUGUGGAAGGGCCAUCGCUCAAAGGAUAAAAGGUACCCCGGGGAUAACAGGCUGAUCUCCCCCAAGAGCUCACAUCGACGGGGAGGUUUGGCACCUCGAUGUCGGCUCAUCGCAUCCUGGGGCUGGAGCAGGUCCCAAGGGUAUGGCUGUUCGCCAUUUAAAGCGGUACGCGAGCUGGGUUCAGAACGUCGUGAGACAGUUCGGUCCCUAUCUGCCGUGGGCGUAAGAAGAUUGAAGAGAUUUGACCCUAGUACGAGAGGACCGGGUUGAACAAACCACUGGUGUAGCUGUUGUUCUGCCAAGAGCAUCGCAGCGUAGCUAAGUUUGGAAAGGAUAAACGCUGAAAGCAUCUAAGCGUGAAGCCAACUCUAAGAUGAAUCUUCUCUAAGCUCUCUAGAAGACUACUAGUUUGAUAGGCUGGGUGUGUAAUGGAUGAAAGUCCUUUAGCUGACCAGUACUAAUAGAGCGUUUGGCUUAUCUUUAAUAAAGCAU